GCUGCUGACCGGGGUUUGCAGAGCUCUCGUCCACCAGGCGGUCAUACUCCAGCAGGAACUCGUCCAGCUCGCCGGAGUCCCCGAAGGCGCCCCACUCGGUGAAAAUGGAAGUAAGAGAAGUAUAGAACCACACGGCUGUGCGCACAGCAGAUAACUGAUCUGAUUGGAUUGCUCCUCAGUGAAGGCUGGUUAUAAUGACCUCCGGAACUUCUGAGAAAGGGCCCUUGAAGCCUGUUGUACACAGGGAGCCUCAGCAGUCUGGAAGGGGCAGGGGUGCAAGGAGCCCUUACCCACGAUCAUGCCGACCUCGCACUGAUGGUCUUCGUAGUAGCAGGAGAUCAUCGUGGCCACCGUGUCAUUCACCAUUGCCACCACAUCCAUUUCAAAGUCCUGCCAAGAAGCACAGAAGCUGCAGUGCUGGAAGCCAAGGAGAAAGGCAGGCAGUGCUGGGGUGGGUGGCCCAGGGC